AUGGGUCGGAUUAAUGGAUCCUUUUUUCUCAUUCUUCUUUCACACUAAUCCACAAACCCUAAAAAACAUAGUUGCAGCCACCGCCAAGAUCCUCCAUCAGUUACACAAAAUCUCACCUACCGACAAUAAUCUUCUUCGAAUUCAUCCUCAUCGCUACAUCUUCUUCUUCAAUCCAUGAUUACAAGAUAUCUCCUUUUUUGAGAUAUUGACUUCAACAACUACAUCUUACAGGGUAUUUAUUCUUAUUGUUACGAAUCUAUUAUGUUAAUGCGCCUAUUGAGGGGAGACUAGAAACUUUAGAAGUGAUGGGUUCAAAAGAAUCUCAGCUCAUAUAGAAGAUAUUACAUCCGGUUAGGAAGCAAGAUUAAAUGAGCUCAAAUUAACAAAAGAAGCAAAAAGGCAGCUAAAUCUAACUUAAAUACAAGAAAAGGAACAUAAGUGGAUUGCCCGACCCCUCGACAGCAUCCUCUCAAGCAAAACAGAGAAGGCAGAAGACUGAACACGCCCCGUGCUCAGCCAGCAUGGGGCCGUGCCCAAGAAGCAGCAGAUAAGACAAACCUAUAGAAGCUUCUAUUGCCCACCACGGGGCCGUGCCCAGUGAACACGGGGGUGUGGCGAAAGUACUACAGGCGCAUUAAUUGUAAUUGUGAAUUACAAUUAAUGAGGAGAGAGAUUGUCAGACUGGCACGGGGCCGUGUCCAGCGGACACGGGGCCGUGCCCAGGCUUCUGUUCAGCCUAUAAAUAGGAGUGCUUGGUUUCAUUGCAACUCAUCCCUUGGCACACCACCUCUCUCACACUUC
rnacentral:lncRNA from 1 species